AUUGAACGCUGGCGGCAGGCCUAACACAUGCAAGUCGAGCGGAUGAAGGGAGCUUGCUCCUGGAUUCAGCGGCGGACGGGUGAGUAAUGCCUAGGAAUCUGCCUGGUAGUGGGGGAUAACGUCCGGAAACGGGCGCUAAUACCGCAUACGUCCUGAGGGAGAAAGUGGGGGAUCUUCGGACCUCACGCUAUCAGAUGAGCCUAGGUCGGAUUAGCUAGUUGGUGGGGUAAAGGCCUACCAAGGCGACGAUCCGUAACUGGUCUGAGAGGAUGAUCAGUCACACUUGAACUGAGACACGGUCCAGACUCCUACGGGAGGCAGCAGUGUGGAAUAUUGGACAAUGGGCGAAAGCCUGAUCCAGCCAUGCCGCGUGUGUGAAGAAGGUCUUCGGAUUGUAAAGCACGUUAAGUUGGGAGGAAGGGCAGUAAGUUAAUACCUUGCUGUUUUGACGUUACCAACAGAAUAAGCACCGGCUAACUUCGUG
rnacentral:rRNA from 1 species